rnacentral:lncRNA from 1 species
UGGAAGGAGGUGUAGAUUGAGCAAGCUGUCCGGGAGCGUGAAUUUUUAGUUCUUGCUUCUUCUGUGACAUCAUGGCCCCUGCCUCUUUGGAUACUCUAAGAUGUCAAAUCGACUGAGGAUGACUCCUGAGGACCCUUUGAGAUGAUUACCAUCGUUGUAGGUAUAGCUUGAUGUAUUCUUGUAUUUAUGAAUGCAGAGGUGUUUAGAAACACUACUGGGAAUAUUC